GACGAACGCUGGCGGCGUGCUUAACACAUGCAAGUCGAACGGAAAGGCCCCUUUGGGGGUACUCGAGUGGCGAACGGGUGAGUAACACGUGAGUAACCUGCCCUUGACUUCGGGAUAACUUCAGGAAACUGGGGCUAAUACCGGAUAGGAAUCCUUGCUGCAUGGUGGGGGUUGGAAAGCUUCGGCGGUUUUGGAUGGACUCGCGGCUUAUCAGCUUGUUGGUGGGGUAGUGGCUUACCAAGGCUUUGACGGGUAGCCGGCCUGGGAGGGCGACCGGCCACAUUGGGACUGAGAGACGGCCCAGACUCCUACGGGAGGCAGCAGUGGGGAAUAUUGCACAAUGGGCGGAAGCCUGAUGCAGCAACGCCGCGUGCGGGAUGACGGCCUUCGGGUUGUAAACCGCUUUCAGCAGGGGCGAAGCUUGUGGUGACGGUACCUGCAGAAGAAGCACCGGCUAACUACGUG
rnacentral:rRNA from 1 species